rnacentral:misc_RNA from 1 species
GAUGAAGAACGUAGCGAAAUGCGAUAAGUAAUGUGAAUUGCAGAAUUCAGUGAAUCAUCGAAUCUUUGAACGCACAUUGCGCCCGCCAGUAUUCUGGCGGGCAUGCCUGUUCGAGCGUCAUUUCAACCAUCAAGCCCCCGGCUUGUGUUGGGGACCUGCGGCUGCCGCAGGCCCUGAAAAGCAGUGGCGGGCUCGCUGUCACACCGAGCGUAGUAGAUUCCAUCUCGCUCAGGGCGUGCUGCGGGUUCCGGCCGUUAAACCACCUUCAUAACCCAAGGUUGACCUCGGAUCAGGUAGGAAGACCCGCUGAACUUAAGCAUAUCAAUAAGCGGAGGA